ACGUUUGCAAGUGAAAACUCUUUCGAUGAUCUUGUCAUUCAUUCAUUGAUAUCAUUACAUUGAAUUCACUGACCAGUUCUCCAUCAGAUUUCGUGGUAAUACUCGAGUAUACCAAACAUUUUUUCAGGGUCACCAGCUGCCUGACCGAGUCCUCUUCUGACUCGAGUUGACUGGUAACGAAGGGCAAGGGUCCAAUUCAGUCAAAAAACUUAUAUUCAUGCACAAGUAACAUUCAAUCAUUUAAUCAUUAAAAAUUUCACAUUCACUUAGGGCGAGUGGGAUAAAUUACACACUCGCCUAUCGAAAAUUCAUUUAACAAUCAUUGAAAAAUAUUUAACAUUCAAGCAAACAUUCACAAUAAUUCACAUAGUCAUUGGAAGCACAAUAUGCAAAGAAUACUCACCAGUUUAAGCAAAAUAACGUCAAAAGUUUCCUUCCAGAUUAUGCCCUUGAUCACCGACAAACCCUAAGAAUAAUCAAGAGAAAAUAUUAUGGUUCAACCAUCCAAAAUUUAAGUGAACCAAAGAAAAUCCGAAUAACUACUAGUACAAAUGUGCAAAUAUGGUUUUAGAGUGAAAAACGAACAUUUACCCAAGAGACAUGAGUAACCAAAAAUUUUCUUAUUCUAAUCAUCAACCAAACUCAAAAUGGUUUAACAACUCCAAUUUAAAGUUGGAAAUGAAAGUAAGGACAGUUUUAAGAAAACAGAAUUUUUCUAGUUUUGCACGGUGCUAUUUGAAAAAUCAUAUCUAAAGAUUCUUAAGUCCAAAAUUUAUAAACUUUAUACGUUGGAAAAUAUAUUCAAAGAUUUACAAUUUCUUAGAAGACACCUUUGCAAGAUUCUGUCCACAAGUCAGUCAAAAUUUAAUCUCAAGUGGCUGCUUUAUCCAGUAGAAAGACAGAACAAGAAUGAAAAUUCAAUCAAUUUUGAAAAAUUACAGAUAUUCAUAAGAAUUGAUAAAAAUUCUGAAAUUUUCAUGGUAGAAAGUACUCUAAAUCUAAUUUCAAACACAACAAGUAGAACUCAAUUUGAAUUUUUCUAUACCAAGAUAUGACAGAUUUUCCAAGACUGUUCAGAGUCUCUUGCGGGAAAAAUUUCAGCAGCACUUCUUUUGUGUUUACCAAUUUUUCCAACCAUUUCAAGGCUACACUUUCACCACAAGACAGACCCAAUUAAGUUCACAAGAUAUAGGAUACAUAGAGUACUUAUUUUAACCACAAAACUAGCUAUAACCAACAUAUACCUAAACUGGAAAUUAACCAAACCCUAGCAACAACUUCACCAAACCCUAACAAAAUCAUGAAAUUACCAUAAACAUGCUUUCUUCAACUUUAAUCAUAACAUAUCUUGUAUAAAUCUCAAAAAACAAGUAAAAAGAGAUGUCUUCUCGAAAUUUUACCUCAAAAUCCCAAGAUAACAAGCAACUCAAUAGAUUUCUUCCCCAAGUAAUUCCACCAAAAGCUUCCCUCCAAACUUAACUCAAGAUUAAUCGGCAUGGAUUAGGGUUAGUGUUUGAAUUUUUGACAAAUCAAUCAAGGAAAUCAAGAUGGAAUUUGGAAGUUUUUCUCUCUUCCUUUCCUCUCUAAGGUUCGGCCUUCAUGGAGCAAGAAAAUGAUGGUUUUUCUUC
rnacentral:lncRNA from 1 species